rnacentral:rRNA from 1 species
UACGGGUCCUACUCCUACGGGAGGCAGYAGUGCGGAAUUUUGGGCAAUGGGCGAAAGCCUGACCCAGCGACGUCGCGUGCGGGAUGAAGGUCUUCGGAUCGUAAACCGCUGUGGUAAGGGAAGAAAGCCUUAAGGAAUGGAAAGCCUUGGGGAGGGACGGUACCUUACUAGGAAGCCCCGGCUAACUACGUGCCAGCAGCCGCGGUAAUACGUAGGGGGCGAGCGUUGCCCGGAAUCACUGGGUGUAAAGGGAGCGUAGGCGGCCAUUUARGUCGACUGUGARAAGCAGGAGCUCAACUCCAGUCUUGCGGUCGAAACUGGAUGGCUUGAGGACGGUAGAGGAAGACGGAACUGCCAGUGUAGGGGUAAAAUCCUUAGAUAUUGGCAGGAACGCCGGUGACGARGGUGGUCUUCUGGGCCGGACCUGACGCUGAGGCUCGAAAGCCAGGGGAGCGAACGGGAUUAGAUACCCCGGUAGUC